rnacentral:rRNA from 1 species
AUUGAACGCUGGCGGCAUGCUUUACACAUGCAAGUCGAACGGUAACAGGUCUUCGGAUGCUGACGAGUGGCGAACGGGUGAGUAAUGUAUCGGAACGUGCCCAGUGGUGGGGGAUAACUACUCGAAAGAGUGGCUAAUACCGCAUGAGAACUGAGGUUGAAAGCGGGGGACCUUCGGGCCUCGCGCUACUGGAGCGGCCGAUAUCAGAUUAGGUAGUUGGUGGGGUAAAGGCCUACCAAGCCGACGAUCUGUAGCUGGUCUGAGAGGACGAUCAGCCACACUGGGACUGAGACACGGCCCAGACUCCUACGGGAGGCAGCAGUGGGGAAUAUUGGACAAUGGGCGAAAGCCUGAUCCAGCAAUGCCGCGUGAGUGAUGAAGGCCUUAGGGUUGUAAAGCUCUUUUACCUAGGGAUGAUAAUGACAGUACCUGGAGAAUAAGCUCCGGCUAACUCCGUGCCAGCAGCCGCGGUAAAGUGUGACUGUC